rnacentral:misc_RNA from 1 species
GAACAAACGAAACUUGAAACUUAAAGGAAAAAACCUAACUUUUAAAAAAUAUAAGGUCCAAGUUCUACAACGAAUUCUAAAAUAGGCUAAACAAUCAGAAACUCAAAAAUAGCAUCGUCCAGAGUGAAGGGUAGGGUUGAAAAAAGUAGAGACCUUUUCCCUAACUUCCAACCACUUAGAAGAAGAAAAGCUAGCAAACAUCCAAAGAUGCCCGAUCUUUCAGUUGCAUCUAUAAGAGCCUUAAGAUGAGAAGCAGAACAAAGUCUCUUAAUGUCUUAGCGGUAAGAGUCGAGUGAUAGAGCUCUAUCAGUAUUGCAGUCUUCGAGGGUUGGCAGGCCAAAAUCACGUUUAGGAGAGAGACUCCAAAGAUACCACUCCUCAUGGCGAAAUCAUACACCCUCCCGCAAGCUUCCAAUAGAUCAGGCAUGUUAAUUCCAUCUCCCUGAGUCGACGGCAUAAGCACAUUUAAAGCAAAC